AGCGAACGCUGGCGGCAGGCCUAACACAUGCAAGUCGAGCGGGCGCCUUCGGGCGUCAGCGGCAGACGGGUGAGUAACGCGUGGGAACGUGCCCAUCGGUUCGGAACAACCCAGGGAAACUUGGGCUAAUACCGGAUACGUGCGAGAGCAGAAAGAUUUAUCGCCGAUGGAUCGGCCCGCGUCUGAUUAGCUCGUUGGUGAGGUAACGGCUCACCAAGGCGACGAUCAGUAGCUGGUCUGAGAGGAUGAUCAGCCACACUGGGACUGAGACACGGCCCAGACUCCUACGGGAGGCAGCAGUGGGAAUAUUGCGCAAUGGGCGAAAGCCUGACGCAGCGACGCCGCGUGGGGAUGACGGCC
rnacentral:rRNA from 1 species